rnacentral:lncRNA from 1 species
UCGCAUCAGGCGCAGCCCUACAUCGCACAACGAUUCAUCAUACCAUCAACUAGAUGCCAGAAAGGUGGCGGGACAUGCCGCAUGCGAACGCGCACGCAAUUAGAACCCUGCCGUGAGAUGCGUCGGUGGCUGUGAGGCAGGUGGGGACUUGCGUGGAGGCUGAAAGGGCUUCCGGACGCAUAAAUCGCAUCAGGCGCUGUCGUACGCCGGACCAACGAUGCAUCAUAACAUCAACUAGU